AGCCAUGCUGCUCAAGAAGGAAACGUGAUAAAGAAAAAUAAGAAUGUGUAAAAAUAGUCUGGGAUCCAGAUGUGGAUACUAUUGUGCUGAUGACAGAAGCGUAGAUUUUGCCAAUUCUGGAAACCUAGACCACUGAAAAAAAUAGGGUUGGCAGAAUUCUUUUUGUGUGCGGUAAAUUCGAGAAUUAAUAUUGAUUAUUAUUUUUAAUCUUUUUUUCUGGUUUUUAUUGUUUAAAAUAAAUUUUCAGAGUUUCACAACGGGACUGCUGGAUGCUUUCAGGUACAAGAGGCGGCAAAGGAUGCGGUCCUGGCAGGGUACGGCAGAUACUUCUAGCCAGAACCGCAAAGAGGAGGACUAGGCCUGGUCGCCCUGCUGCUGAACAGUUCCUACCUGAAGGCAGCCCCUCACUCCCAACUGGCCCAGGAAGCUGAGCAGAUGGAGAGUUUGAUGGACAGAAGCCUCCACCUGAUGUCUGGAUUGACCCUGAACCAACCAGUCACCCAGCUGGAGUAUAGAAGCCCAGGGACUUUAGAACCACUCUCAAGUCCUUUAGGGUAUGUAAAGUCUCAUCAGUUUUGGAUGAAAAUAAUUUACAUACUUCAAAGGAAAGGUUCUCAAUAGUCCGUUGCAUCUCCAUAGGAAUCCCUGAAUACC